rnacentral:rRNA from 1 species
GAUGAACGCUAGCGGAAGGCAUAAUACAUGCAAGUCGAACGGAUGUAGCAAUACAUUAGUGGCGCACGGGUGCGUAACGCGUAUGCAACCUACCUUCAUCAGGGGGAUAACUACCCGAAAGGGUGGCUAACACCGCAUAAUACUACUGAAUGGCAUCAGUUGGUAUUUAAAUCUGAGGAGGAUGAAGAUGGGCAUGCGUCUGAUUUGCUAGUUGGUGUGGUAACGGCGCACCAAGGCGACGAUCAGUAGGGGAACUGAGAGGUUGGUCCCCCACACUGGCACUGAGCGACGGGCCAGACUCCUACGGGAGGCGGCAGUAGGGAAGAUUGGUGAAUGGUGGGAUCACUGAACCAGCCAUUCCGCGUGCAGGAAGAGGGGUCUCUGACUUGUAAACUGCUUUAGCAAGGGAAGAAAAAGCUCAUGCGUGAGAAAUUGACGGUACCUUGAGAAUAAGCACCGGCUAACUACGUGCCAGCAGCCGCGGUAACAC